rnacentral:rRNA from 1 species
GAUGAACGCUGGCGGCGUGCCUAAUACAUGCAAGUCGAGCGAACAGACGAGGAGCUUGCUCCUCUGACGUUAGCGGCGGACGGGUGAGUAACACGUGGAUAACCUACCUAUAAGACUGGGAUAACUUCGGGAAACCGGAGCUAAUACCGUAUAACAUGUUGAACCGCAUGGUUCAACAGUGAAAGACGGUCUUGCUGUCACUUAUAGAUGGAUCCGCGCCGCAUUAGCUAGUUGGUAAGGUAACGGCUUACCAAGGCAACGAUGCGUAGCCGACCUGAGAGGGUGAUCGGCCACACUGGAAAUGAGACACGGUCCAGACUCCUACGGGAGGCAGCAGUAGGGAAUCUUCCGCAAUGGGCGAAAGCCUGACGGAGCAACGCCGCGUGAGUGAAGAAGGUCUUCGGAUCGUAAAACUCUGUUAUUAGGGAAGAACAAAUGUGUAAGUAACUAUGCACGUCUUGACGGUACCUAAUCAGAAAGCCACGGCUAACUACGUG